rnacentral:rRNA from 1 species
CGCAGUAUUUUGACUGUGCAAAGGUAGCAUAAUCAUUAGUUUUUUAAUUGAAGACUUGAAUGAAGGGUUGGACGAGAAGCUAGCUGUCUUUAUUGAAAGCGUUGAAUUUAACUUUUAAGUGAGAAGGCUUAAAUGUUUUGAAGGGACGAUAAGACCCUAUAAAAUUUAACAAUUGUAAAUUAAUGGGGGAAAUAGUAUAAAGUUAAAAGUAUUAUUAAGGGGUGUAUUGUUUUGUUGGGGCGACAGGAAUAAAAAGUAAAUNUAACUGUUCNUUUAAUUGAAUUUAGUGAUGAUUAAGGUUUAUGAUCCUCAUUAGGGAUUUAAAGAGUAAAUUACUUUAGGGAUAACAGCGUAAUUUUUUUUGAGAGUUCUUAUCGAUAGAGAAGUUUGCGACCUCGAUGUUGAAUUAAAAGUUCUUUAUAGCGCAGUAGUUAUAGAAAGAAGGUCUGUUCGACCUUUAAAUUUUUACAUGAUUUGA